UAGGUACUCCCUCCAUCCCAAAAUUCUUGUCUUAGAUUUGUCUUAGAUACGAAUGUACCUAAUAGUCACGUUUUAGUAUUAGGUACAUCCGUAUCUAGACAAAUCUAAGACAAGAAUUUUGGGACGGAGGGAGUAUUUG
rfam:Triticum aestivum genome assembly, contig: Triticum_aestivum_CS42_TGACv1_scaffold_221018_3B